UUUUUUUUUUUUUUUUUUUUUUGAGACUGAGUCUUGCUCUGUUGCCCAGGCUGGAGUGCAAUGGUGAGAUCUUGGUUCACUGCAACCUCUGCCUCCCAGAUUCAAGCAAUUGUCCUGCCUCAGCCUCCCAAGUAGCUGGGACUACAGGCAUGUGCCACCACACUCGGGUAAUUUUUAUGUUUUUAGUAGACACGGGGUUUCACUAUGUUGGCCAGGCUGGUCUUGAACUCCUGACCUCAGGUGAUCCACCUGCCUCAGCCUCCCAAAGUGCUGGGAUUACAGGAGUGAGCCACCACACCCAGCCAAGAUUUGGGCAGAGACCAAUAGCCAAACUUUAUCAGACACUAACAAGAUCCCUGUGGCUGCCAGUUGAGAACAGAUUACAGGGUUUGUGAAGGAAUGAGGCCUGGAGGAACAGUGAGGAGGCUGCUGCAGUAGUCCCGGCAGGAAAUGACGGGGAUUGGACCAGGGUGGGGGCGGUGAACGCAGGAGAAAUGUGGGCUGGGAACCACCAAGUGAGGCAAAAGAAGGAAAUCAUGGACUGGGAGAAAGGAGGUACCCCUUGAUCUGGAAGCACAGGUGGAGGCUCUUGGUAAUGGGGGAAGCCCUUGGGUCCUGUCUGAAGGCUCUCCUGUUUACUGGAUGAGGUGGGCACACCUGGCUCCUUGGUAGGAGUACUCAUCUAGAUUCCUGAGAAGAGGACUUGCACGUAUUGUGUUAGGACAAAUCUGGAUGUUAGAAUCAAGAUUCCCAGUUAAAAAAAAAAAAGGCCAGGCACAUGGCUCACGUUGUGAUCCUAGCACUCUGGGAGGCCAAGGCAGGUAGAUCACAAGAGGCCAGGAGUUUGAGACCGGCCUGGACAACAUGGCAAAACCCUGUCCCUACUAGAAAGGCAAAAAUUAGCCAGGCAUGGUGAUGGUGGGUGCCUGUAAUCCCAGCUACUCAGGAGGCUGAGGCAGAAGAAUUGCUUGAACCCAAGAAGCAGAGGUUGCAGUGAGUUGAGAUUGCGCCACCGCACUCCAGCCUGGGCGACAGAAUGAGAGAGAGAAGGGAGGGAGGGAGGGAGGGAGGGAGGGAGGGAGGGAGGGAGGGAGGGAGGAAGGAAGGAAGGAAGGAAGGAAGGAAGGAAGGAAGGAAGGAAGGAAGGAAAGGAAGGGAAGGAAAAUGCAAACUCUUGCCCUGCCCUAGAAUUACUGAAUCAGAAACCAGUGUUUCAACAAAACCUUCAGGGAACCUCUGUUUUACCUGCCUUAAUUUAGCUCCCUCUAUCCUCAAGCUGCCCUAUGAAAUAGGACAAUUGUUGUCUGCCCUCUACAGUUGAGGAAACUGAGGCACAGAGAAGCUAAGUAAUUCCCCAGAUCCCACAGACAGUAAGCAGCAGAACUGGCCUUUCCACCUGGUUUCAGAAUCCUACCUCUACCCUCUUACGCUAUGGCACCACUACAAUCAUGGAAAAAUAGUUCCAAUAAUAAUAUAAAAAGAACGGCUGACCUUUACUGAGUACUCUCUCAGUUCUAAGCCCUGUUCUCCCUCAAUCAAUCCUCCCAUUUACAUUUUAUGGAUGAAAGAAACCAAGGCAUGGAUGGUUAAGGAAUGUGCCCGAUGUCGUGUACCCAAAACAUGGCAUAGCUGGCAUCUGAACAUUUGUUCAUGGAUUUAACAGAUUCUCACCAACUUGGAGUCUCUAUAUCUAUGUCUCCUCCAUGUGCCUCAUGGAUUCCUGGCCCCACCCUGACUUACCCUUUUCGGGUCUCCAUCCUCCACUCCCCACAUCUCUUUUUGCCUCUAGGUUGAAGUGCUCGUGGAGGGAAUCUGUCUUGCCUUUUGCUAUAGAUUGGUGACAACUCGCACCCCCCAACACACACACUUUUUGUCCAGCUCUGACCUAACCAUCUAUGGCAAGAGGUAGGGUUAUGUGAACCCAAUGUGGCCACACUAUCAGGAAGGAUUCUUUUCUUUUCUUUUCUUUUCUUUUUUCUCUUUUCUUUUCUUUU
rnacentral:lncRNA from 1 species